AUUGAACGCUGGCGGCAGGCCUAACACAUGCAAGUCGAACGGUAACAGGUCUUCGGAUGCUGACGAGUGGCGAACGGGUGAGUAAUACAUCGGAACGUGCCCGAGAGUGGGGGAUAACGAGGCGAAAGCUUUGCUAAUACCGCAUACGAUCUCAGGAUGAAAGCAGGGGACCGCAAGGCCUUGCGCUCACGGAGCGGCCGAUGGCAGAGUAGGUAGUUGGUGGGAUAAAAGCUUACCAAGCCGACGAUCUGUAGCUGGUCUGAGAGGACGACCAGCCACACUGGGACUGGGACACGGCCCAGACUCCUACGGGAGGCAGCAGUGGGGAAUUUUGGACAAUGGGCGCAAGCCUGAUCCAGCCAUGCCGCGUGCAGGAUAAAGGCCUUCGGGUUGUAAACUGCUUUUGUACGGAACGAAAAGACUCUGGUUAAUACCUGGGGUCCAUGACGGUACCGUAAGAAUAAGCACCGGCUAACUACGUGCCAGCCGCCGCCGUAAUAC
rnacentral:rRNA from 1 species